GAUGAACGCUAGCUACAGGCUUAACACAUGCAAGUCGAGGGGAAACGACAUCGAAAGCUUGCUUUUGAUGGGCGUCGACCGGCGCACGGGUGAGUAACGCGUAUCCAACCUGCCCAUCACUUGGGAAUAACCUUGCGAAAGUAAGACUAAUACCCAAUGAUAUCCCACGAAGGCAUCGGAAUGGGAUUAAAGAUUUAUCGGUGAUGGAUGGGGAUGCGUCUGAUUAGCUUGUUGGCGGGGUAACGGCCCACCAAGGCGACGAUCAGUAGGGGUUCUGAGAGGAAGGUCCCCCACAUUGGAACUGAGACACGGUCCAAACUCCUACGGGAGGCAGCAGUGAGGAAUAUUGGUCAAUGGGCGAGAGCCUGAACCAGCCAAGUAGCGUGCAGGAAGACGGCCCUAUGGGUUGUAAACUGCUUUUAUAAGGGAAUAAAGUGGGUCACGUGUGACUUUUUGCAUGUACCUGAUGAAUAAGGACCGGCUAAUUCCGUG
rnacentral:rRNA from 1 species